GGGCUGUCCUGGCCGGCGGGGACUGGUGGGACCCAAAGGAGACAAAGGGUACCCGGGGGCCAUGGGGAGGACUGGCCCCCCAGGUGACCCUGGCCCCGCUGGCACCCCCGGUGUCCCCAGCAUCGUCCUCUGGAGGAACUCCAGGGAGGACUGGCAGUCGUUCAUGCAAUCAUCAUUUUACCAACUCCUGCACGUGGGCUGGCCGGGACCCUGCGGAGCGCCAGGAGAGCCGGGGGACAAAGGCCAGCG
rnacentral:lncRNA from 1 species